AAAAAGAAGAAGAUUUUUUUUUUUCCAUUUUUUCUCGCCCUUUUCAUAAAUAAUGAAAUAUCAUGUAAUAUUUAUAAAAUAUUAGAGGGAAACAAUUAUUUUUUAACAAAUUAUGACGACCCAAUUUGUAUGAUUAUUGAUUACCACAAGUUUAUAUCAUUAUUCUCAUAAUUAAUUUUUAUUUUUAAUUUUUACAUACAAACAAUUUUACAUAUUCCAAAAGUUAGCACAAAGUAUUCAAUCUAAAAAUAAAAUUUAUUACGAAAUAAAAAUAGUGAAAUUUAUUAUAACUUUUUUAUGAAUUAAAAAAAAAAAGAUGAAUACUAUGUUACGUAGGACUUCAAUUGAUAUUUUUAUAAAAAGAAUUUUGUAUUAUAUUAUUCUCAUUUUAUUUUAAUUUCUUUAUUUAUUUUUUGCGUUGGGUGUUCCAUGCUUUUUCUCCCCUUGUGAUUUGACCCCCAACAAAUUAACCAAAAUUGACUCCUGCGUCAAGUCCGCUCUAGUACACCGGCCUUUAUUGGCGGACGCCAGUCCUCUCUUAAAUCCAGUUUAAUCCCAUCUCGCGCACGCCCGCGCGAUGACCGGGGACCUCCGGUCGUGUCGUUUUUCUGACUUACCUAACCGGUCGCACUCGGUACCUUUCCACCUCCUCAACCGGUUCCCGAGAACUUCUAAAACUUUGUCUAGAUUUGAGUACGUUAUGUCGUCUGCAUAAAAAAACCACUGGAUACGAUCCACGUGGCAGACUAUUCUUCGUCAGAUGUGGGAUUGAUUCGUCUUUCUAGAGUCUUCCUCGGUCAUUUCCGGAAUAAAAUUAAUCAAAAUGGAUAAGUUCAGAGAUAAACCAAUAAAGAAAUGCCAGGUCAGUAGGUGGUGAUUUUAUUAUUCAGAAGCUUAAAACACCGGAUUUGCCGUUUCAAAUUUAACUUUCAUGUGAGAUGAAUUUGGAUUGAAUUUCCAUAAAAUUUGACCCUGGGACGAGGUUAAAUUAUUACACACCAAUAUGGGUUGUCGUUUAUGCGCUACCUCACUUACACGAAAUCAACCAAUAGUUUCCUGCCACCUAAGCUAAUCAAACAAGAGAUGAAUUUAAAAUAACAUAUUUAUCCCUAGAUCGUACCGAGAAAAAAUGACGCGGCAUGAUGUGACUGGAAGUUAAAAAGCGGAAGAAUAAUUUUAAAAUCAGAAAAACGAUUUCUCAGUGCGCCUCUUUUAUAAUUUUCUCUUUCUUUCUACCAUUGGAUAGGCGAUUUUAUCAAAAACCAAAAAUAAAAUUAAAUAGUGUAAUUAUUUUUUGAUCCCUAAUGUUAUCGGUUUUCUUAAAUAUAGACACAAAUUGUUCAUCUAUAUAAAAUACGUAUCCACGCAUUUUUUAUAUGACCAAAUCACCCUCAUAACGAUUUUUUAGUGCCCCCAAGGGUGUAUCUUUUCUACCGACCAAAAAUAUUAUUUCCCUCCAAACAAAUGAUUU
rnacentral:lncRNA from 1 species